UGCUGUCAUGUUUCACUGGGU
ensembl:piRNA 21ur-2240 ncRNA